CAUCUCACUCUUCCCUCCUCUCUCCCUCACAACUCCCUCUCUCACGAUGACAUGCAUCCAAACCUAGAAGAUCGAAACCCUUGAACCCAAGGCGACGUCCUCCUCUUUCCCUUCAUCUCCAAUCGAAACCCUAAAUCGACAGAGCACGUCAAACUCUCAAAACCAUACGAAAGUGAUAUACUUAAAUCUCAUUUGGGUCUGAAGACUAAAGUGCAAGUUCCACCUUGAGAAAGAAGAUUCAGUACCUUUAUUGUUGGAGAUGGAGAUUGCUCUACUGUUGAAUGGGAACUGUUAAGAAGAAUUUUCUCCUAAUAUUCUCAUUCUAUUAUAUGAAGACAUGUACACACCGUCUUGGAUUGUUAGAGAUACAAAUUUUUGGGUUAUAUUUGUUGUUCAUAUGCUCACUUUUGGGUUAUGGUUGGACAUGGAGGCUGUUGAUUCUCUUCUAUUUCAAGACCAGAUGUUACUUCAAUGCAAGUAUGAUGAACGAAAAAUAUUUAUGUUCAUUUGCUGAAAAAAUUGG